AAAGGCCUGAUGAGAACAUCAAAAAUUUUCAAGAGCUGAUGAGAGAAAAUUACUGGGAGCAUCCUGCAUGGAUAAUGACCAGCAGUAACACUAGUUUGGGCAGAGACGAGCUUCUUUUGCACAUGUCACAACUACGGAACUUUUGGGAUAACUAGUACAUCCUAGUCAAACCUUGCAAUUUGUCCUGUUCUGGAAAUGGAAGAUUGCUUUUGAAGAUGAUGAGGAUCAGGGCAUCGUACAAAGGGCUUGGGAAGGUCUUAUUGCAAACCGUAUUUUGAUAUAUUGCUUUGAGUGGAUCUGCAACAAAAGUUGGGAAGUCUACCACCAAUGCGAAUAGGGCUUCCUUGGGAGAGAGGUUGUAUGCCUUGAUUAACAAGGAUUCUAGGAACGAGGACACAUCUGAUAGUGAACAUAAGCAAACCCUGCCUGACAAGCGUGUUGGAAAGGAAAUGAGCAGUUCAGUGCCUCUAGAUGAUGAUAGAAAAUGGAGG